rnacentral:rRNA from 1 species
AUUGAACGCUGGCGGCAGGCCUAACACAUGCAAGUCGAACGAGUGGCGGACGUGUGAGUAAUGUCUGGGAAACUGCCUGAUGGAGGGGGAUAACUACUGGACACGGUCGCUAAUACCGCAUACCAUCGGAUGUGCCCAGAUGGGAGUAGCUAGUAGGAGGGAUAAAGGCUCACCUAGGCGACGAUCCCUAGCUGGUCUGAGAGGAUGACCAGCCACGCUGGGACAGAGACACGGUCCAGACUCCUACGGGAGGCAGCAGUGGGGAAUAUUGCACAAUGGGCGCAAGCCUGAUGCAGCCAUGCCGCGUGUAUGAAGAAGGCCUUCGGGUUGUAAAGUACUUUCAGCGGGGAGGCGUUACCCGCAGAAGAAGCACCGGCUAACUCCGUGCCAGCAGCCGCGGUAAUAC